GUCGAACGCUGGCGGCGGGCUUAACACAUGCAAGUCGAACGAAAAUACCAAGCUUGCUUGGUUGAUUAGUGGCGAACGGGUGAGUAACACGUAAGUAACCUGCCGCUUAUUUUCCUGGAUAACUGCUCGAAAGCGCAGCUAAUACAGGCUAUUCUGACGAGCCUGCAUGGGUUGUUUGGGCAUGGUUGUUUCUCUGGUACCUGAUGGGCUCGCGCCCUAUCGUCUUGUUGGUGGGGUGAUGGCCUACCAAGGCUUUGACGGGUAGCCGGCCGGAGAGUGUGGACGGUGACACUGAGACUGAGUCACGGCCCAGACUGGUACGGGAGGCAGGAGUGGGGAAUAUUGCACAAUGAGCGCAAGCCUGACGCAGCGACGCUGCGUGAGGGAUGAAGGCAUUCGGGUUGUAAACCUCUUUCGUCAGGGAGCAAGGCACUGCUUUUUUGGUGGUGUUGAGGGUACAUGGAUAAGAAGAGCGGGCUAAUUAGGU
rnacentral:rRNA from 1 species